rnacentral:rRNA from 1 species
UACGUAGGGGUGCGAAGCGUUAAUCGGAAUUACUGGGCGUAAAGCGAGUGUAGGCGGUUUCCUAAGUCGGAUGUGAAAUCCCCGGCUUAACCUGGGAACUGCAUUUGUGACUGCAUCGCUGGAGUGCGGCAGAGGGGGAUGGAAUUCCGCGUGUAGCAGUGAAAUGCGUAGAUAUGCGGAGGAACACCGAUGGCGAAGGCAAUCCCCUGGGCCUGCACUGACGCUCAUGCACGAAAGCGUGGGGAGCAAACAGG